GCGGUUGAAGGAAUGGCGAAGCAGAUCUCUGGGCCGUAACUGACGCUGAGGAGCGAAAGGGUGGGGAGCAAACAGGCUUAGAUACCCUGGUAGUCCACCCCGUAAACGUUGGGAACUAGUUGUGGGGUCCAUUCCACGGAUUCCGUGACGCAGCUAACGCAUUAAGUUCCCCGCCUGGGGAGUACGGCCGCAAGGCUAAAACUCAAAGGAAUUGACGGGGACCCGCACAAGCGGCGGAGCAUGCGGAUUAAUUCGAUGCAACGCGAAGAACCUUACCAAGGCUUGACAUAUAGAGGAAACGUCUGGAAACAGUCGCCCCGCAAGGUCUCUAUACAGGUGGUGCAUGGUUGUCGUCAGCUCGUGUCGUGAGAUGUUGGGUUAAGUCCCGCAACGAGCGCAACCCUCGUUCUAUGUUGCCAGCACGUAAUGGUGGGAACUCAUGGGAUACUGCCGGGGUCAACUCGGAGGAAGGUGGGGAUGACGUCAAAUCAUCAUGCCCCUUAUGUCUUGGGCUUCACGCAUGCUACAAUGGCCGGUACAAAGGGCUGCAAUACCGUGAGGUGGAGCGAAUCCCAAAAAGCCGGUCCCAGUUCGGAUUGAGGUCUGCAACUCGACCUCAUGAAGUCGGAGUCGCUAGUAAUCGCAGAUCAGCAACGCUGCGGUGAAUACGUUCCCGGGUCUUGUACACACCGCCCGUCAAGUCAUGAAAGUCGGUAACAC
rnacentral:rRNA from 1 species